rnacentral:rRNA from 1 species
UACAGGGGGUGCAAACGUUGCUCGGAAUUAUUGGGCGUAAAGCGCGCGUAGGCGGCCACUUAAGUCGGAUGUGAAAUCCCCAGGCUUAACCUGGGAACUGCAUCCGAUACUGGAUGGCGUGAAUCCGGGAGAGGGAUGCAGAAUUCCAGGUGUAGCGGUGAAAUGCGUAGAUAUCUGGAGGAAUACCGGUGGCGAAGGCGGCAUCCUGGACCGGCAUUGACGCUGAGGAGCGAAAGCUAGGGGAGCAAACGGG